GGUCAAGUCCCGUACGGCUGCGACAAGCCCAACCCCGUCAGGUCCGGAAGGAAGCAGCGGUCAGUUUGCUCUCAGCGCGAUACGAUCAGCUUGACCUAU
rnacentral:SRP_RNA from 2 species